CUCAGGAAGCCCCAUGAGGACCCCUGCCACUAUGACCUGGACGCCUCUCAUCUUCAGCCUCCUUCUGCACUGUACAGGUUCUGUAGCCUCUUAUGUGCUGACUCAGCCAUCCUCAGCGUCAGUGACACUGGGACAGACGGCCAGGAUCACCUGUGGAGGAAGCGGCAUUGGAAACAAAUAUGUGAACUGGUACCAACAGAAGAUAGGCCAGGCCCCUGUGCUGGUCAUUUAUAAUAGUAAUAACAGGCCCUCAGGGAUCCCUGAUAGAUUCUCUGGCUCCACCUCUGGGAACACAGCCACCCUGACCAUCAGCAAGGCCCAGGCUGAGGAUGAGGCUGAUUAUUACUGCCAGGUGUGGGACAGCAGCAGUGAUGGCCACAGUGACACAGACACAUGGGGAAGUUUCUGUGCUCUGCCUGUGCUGACUCAGCCUCCAUCUGUGUCUGCCUCCCUGGGAGACUCAACCAGGCUCAUCUGCACCCUCAGCAGUGAGCACAGCAAUUACCACAUUCACUGGUAUCAGCAGACACAAGGGAAGAGUCCCCAGUAUAUAAAGAAGGUGAAAAGUGAUGGCAGCUUCAGCAAGGAGGACGGGAUCUCCAAUCGCUUCUCAGGCUCCAGAUCUGGAGCUGAUCGCUACUUAACCAUCUCCAACCUUGAGUCUGAGGAUGAGGCUGAGUAUUACUGUGGAGAGUCCCAUACCAUCAAUGGACAGUAUGGUUAA